GUUUUUCAUAUCACAGUGCAAUGAUAAAACCUGGAGGAGGAAAAAAUGCAUUUUCAGAAUGUGGGAGUUUCAUUACCCCUCCAUCCCCAGUGAAAGUUGCACCCCUGGAAAAAUGAGAGAGAGAAAUAUAUAGAGAAAGGAGUAGAACGAAAGUGAUAUGAUUGCACAGAGAGAGAUUAAGAAUAUCUAAAACGGGGAAGAGAUGAGCUGUAGGAGAAUAAAAUAUGAAUCCAGAAGGGAGUGAGUAUAAUAAAAAUGUUGUGUCUUUGGCUAUGCCGGAUUAAGUUAUAUGAAAUGCUAUUCUAUAAAAUCCUUUCUCCGUAAUUAAUAUUACCCGAUUGUGCUAAUCAUGUAAAUGUAAUUAACUAGAGAGUCGGGGCACCGUGAAAGAAUAUUUAUAGAGCUGUUAUCUUCCGAAUAAACUCUUAAAGACCUAGUAAUAUUUUACAUCAAUAGCAGUCAAUAUUAAUCGUCACCUUAAUUCAGUCUCAUCUGAAAGUUGUAAAUUCUUGGUUAUUUUCACGAACCCUGGCUAACAAGUUGAAUCAGCAAUACAAAAUUGGGUCUAAUUAUUUAUUUACUAAAUACCUAACUAAUCACACAGAAUUACAUAUACAAAGAAUGAAUCAUACCUUGAUUACAAAUUACGUCAUAAAGGAAAAUGUCCCUAGCGGGCGGAACAGAUAUGACAGCUGGUUACACAAAAGAUAAAGGGCUGGGUUUGAGUGAAAGAGCGGGAAGACUGAGGGACACAGGGAGAAGCUGUGCUAUCGUAAAUACAGUAUCUUAUGCAUUCUAAAUUACCGCACAUUUGGAAAAGGAAAAUGCAAUAAAUAUUUACUCUUGUCAUGUUGUGUCUUGUUUCUGUCCUUUCCCUUCACCCUGUCUCCCUCUGCUGGUCGUUAUUAGGUUACCUUUUCUCCCCCUCUUUCCCCCAGCUGUUCCUUGUCUCCUCCUAACUACCUCGUCACCCCUUUUCCCACCUGUUCCCUUUUUCCCUCUGAUUAGUCCUCUAUAUCUCUCUCUGUUUUUGCUCCUGUCUUUGUCGGAUUCUUGUUUGUGUUAUUCAUGCCUGAACCAGACUAUCGUCAUGUUUGCUGCAACCUUGUCCUGUCCUGUCGGAAUCUGCCGGUCCAUCUGAGCCUACCUAUGUUUUGUCAUUAAAGAAGCUCUGUUUACGUUAAUUCGCUUUUGGGUCCUCAUUCACGCACCGUAACACAAUGUCCCAUGUCAUAGCUGACACCCCAUUUUAUCUGCAGAUGUCUUUGAAUCUUAAUUCGGAGCAAAUAAUGAAGAGUUUUUGGAAAAUGUGGUCACAUAAAAAAAAAUAGAUUUACCUAAAUUCUAAAAACAUUGCAUCUGCACAGUUCUUCCAGUAAAUGUGUUUUUGUAAAAUGUUCAGUAUAAAUUGUUAACAGUGGUCCUUAUGCAUAUAGUUUUAUUUGUUUGGCAUACAUUUUAAGUGACUAAAUCAGAGCCCGUUGCUAUGGAAUUGCCCAUUCCCAAUACACUACCCAUCUCACUCUCUUUACACCCACCUUUCUCCCUGUCUUUUGACUCAUCUCACUUUCUCUGUCUCUAUCCCUCUCUCUCCUUCCCCCUCCCCUAUUUCUCCU
rnacentral:lncRNA from 13 species